UUAUCCGCAUUAGGGAAAAUCGCAAGGGUCAGCCCAACCGCAGUGCAAUGGAAGGGCCUCACCCUGGGGGUACCGCCUUCAUG
rnacentral:snRNA from 1 species